rnacentral:rRNA from 1 species
UACGGAGGGUGCGAGCGUUGUCCGGAAUCACUGGGCGUAAAGAGCUCGUGGGCGGCUUGGCAAGUCGGGUGUGAAACCUCCAGGCUCAACCUGGAGACGCCACUCGAUACUGCCAUGGCUAGAGUCCGGUAGGGGACCACGGAAUUCCUGGUGUAGCGGUGAAAUGCGCAGAUAUCAGGAGGAACACCGGUGGCGAAGGCGGUGGUCUGGGCCGGCACUGACGCUGAGGAGCGAAAGUGUGGGGAGCGAACAGG